rnacentral:tRNA from 1 species
GCCUUUGUAGUAUAAACAUUAUACUGGUCUUGUAAACCAGAGAUGGAGACUCACAUCUCCCUAAGACA